rnacentral:lncRNA from 1 species
AGAUUUGUUAGAGAAACAAGUAUAGGAUUUAUGUCUUACUUUACCACAUUUAAAGCAAGUAAUAUUUGAAAACUUGUUGCUUGAUGAGUUCGCAUAGAUAUUUUUAAAAAAAUUUUGUUUCUUUAAAGGGUUGUAGCCAAGACCGGCUUUAUCAUAAACGGCUUUUUGACUAUCAAAUAUCAUUUGAAGUUUAGUUGAACUA